rnacentral:lncRNA from 1 species
AAGGGCUUGCUCUCUGAAAACAUUGAGCAGAUCAGGGAAGACGAUGACGCCCACAAGCUUGUAGUCUUCUUCUUCCACAACCCAGACGUAGCUAACACGGUGAGCUAAAGCUUGGAUCAUAACAGCAACAAGGGAACUCCUACGAUGGCAGACAAUAGCUUCUUCCGAUUUCCUCCCCAUUCUGGCCGAGUAGCUCCCCGACCUACUAUAUUUUCUCCGACCUAUUGAGCUUUUCCUUGUCGCAGGUGACUCUUCAUCGGAAGACGAAGUCCCCGAAGAAGACGAGGAGAAAACCGAGAUAAGAUCCUCGUCGUAAUCACCUUCCAACAACUCCAGCAUUCCUGU